CAGUCGCCGCGGGAAUACAGAGGGUGCGAGCGUUAAUCGGAUUUACUGGGCGUAAAGCGUGCGUAGGCGGCUUCUUAAGUCGGAUGUGAAAUCCCUGAGCUUAACUUAGGAAUUGCAUUCGAUACUGGGAAGCUAGAGUAUGGGAGAGGAUGGUAGAAUUCCAGGUGUAGCGGUGAAAUGCGUAGAGAUCUGGAGGAAUACCGAUGGCGAAGGCAGCCAUCUGGCCUAAUACUGACGCUGAGGUACGAAAGCAUGGGGAGCAAACAGGAUUAGAUACUCCUGUAGUCCCUGUCUCUUAUAC
rnacentral:rRNA from 1 species